GACGUAGGGUGCGAGCGUUGUCCGGAUUUAUUGGGCGUAAAGGGCUCGUAGGCGGCCAACUAAGUCAGACGUGAAAUCCCUCGGCUUAACCGGGGAACUGCAUCUGAUACUGGAUGGCUUGAGAUUGGGAGAGGGAUGCGGAAUUCCAGGUGUAGCGGUGAAAUGCGUAGAUAUCUGGAGGAACACCGGUGGCGAAGGCGGCAUCCUGGACCGGCAUUGACGCUGAGGCGCGAAAGCCAGGGGAGCAAACGGG
rnacentral:rRNA from 1 species